rnacentral:rRNA from 1 species
UCGAAUGUCGGAGCCAGUCCGAGAUAGAUCGUCGGCGAACGGCCGCGCCAAGCCCCGGCAACGAACCAGGUCCGUAGAUCCGAGCGAGACGAGCCUGCCGACGAGCCGGACGCACUUAAUGCGGCUCACUACCGUUCAAUUGCGAUCUCUACCGCCGGGCAGUCGGCCGGGCGAGCAGUGUCUGCCGCGCGCGCNNACNNACAGGCGACCGGGCCGUAGGCCGGCACCAACGGGUCGCGACGUCCUACUAGGGGAGAAGUGCACCACGACGACGUCGGACGUGCCGCAGCGGACGCGUGACCCGGGACCCGAAGGACCCGGACAUCAUCCACACGGAAGCCAUCGCCGCUGACGAUGAGUCUCCCCAUUCGAUCUUUUGGGUUUCUUAGGUUUA